UGACGUGGGCCAGGACUCAUUGAAUGAGAAGAGCUGCUGCCCAGCCUGGCAGUGGCUGCUGCGAGGGGCUGGACUCUGCCAGCCACCGUGAGGGGCUUGCACCCGCUGUGAGUUUUGGACCCACCGGCCAAGCCAGGGGACUCUCCCAGAAUUAGAGAGUGUCCACCCAACUGAGUGCCCCUUGGGCCUGGCAUCCCUGUCCUUAACCCAGGAGUCUGGGAGAGAGCUGAGCCACGUGGCCGAGCUGGCUGAUGACGACUUCACUUGAACAAGCAAGGACGACAGAAAAGAUUAUAAAAAAUUGUGGGACCAUCAUUCAUGUCUGAACCUCUAAGGUGACCACUGGCAUGGCUCUUCUGCUCACGGGCCCCCAAGGAGCUGCGUCCAAUGACAUCUGGACGCUCUGUCCACACUGACGAGGCUUGUUUCCAAGUCUCCACCUGCGGGUGCUCAGCCAGGCCCUACUGCUUAACUCCUAGCCUGCACAGCAACCAGAGUGAAUAGAGGAGAGACAUCAAUGUGAUCAGUGUUCCUCCCAGCUGGAAGCGACUCAGACCCUCAGGAGCUCUCCAUGGAUUUUUAACCGCUCUUUGCUACUGCCUUGGCCAUUUUAUUUGAAAUAAAUAUUCAAGAUUGACCUUCCCUACACUUCUUUCUUUUUGCUACACCCACCAGUACAAGAUUUCAUUGCAAUUUUGAAAGGCGCA
rnacentral:lncRNA from 1 species